rnacentral:lncRNA from 1 species
GUAGGCACUAGUACUACUCUAGCUAGCUCUCUAUGCUGUAGAUUUGUUCAUAUAUAUCUGUGCGCGCGUGCGUGACCUGAUUGCGAACACGAAUACAGGCUUGGGCGCGAGCGCGAAGAAGUCGUGCUGCAACUCCUGCACCAGCUGGUCGGGGGUGUACACCUGCGACGACCUGCUGACCAAGUGCGCCGCCACCUGCCAGAACUGCGCCGCCGUGCCCACCGACAAGGGCACCCGCUACAGGUGCCGCGACUUCCUCCCCGAGGGAUGCCCCUGCAAGGCCAACUGAUCGAUCCAUCGGUCGAGCUCGUUGCAACUUGCAAGACAUCAAUAAUCCGUUGCUGUUUUUCC